UGGGGAAUAUUGCACAAUGGGGGAAACCCUGAUGCAGCGACGCCGCGUGAACGAAGAAGGUAUUCGUAUCGUAAAGUUCUGUCCUAUGGGAAGAUAAUGACAGUACCAUAGAAGAAAGCUCCGGCUAAAUACGUGCCAGCAGCCGCGGUAAUACGUAUGGAGCGAGCGUUGUCCGGAAUUAUUGGGCGUAAAGGGUACGCAGGCGGUUUAAUAAGUCGAAUGUUAAAGAUCGGGGCUCAACCCCGUAAAGCAUUGGAAACUGAUAAACUUGAGUAGUGGAGAGGAAAGUGGAAUUCCUAGUGUAGUGGUGAAAUACGUAGAUAUUAGGAGGAAUACCAGUUGCGAAGGCGACUUUCUGGACACAAACUGACGCUGAGGUACGAAAGCGUAGGGAGCAAACAGG
rnacentral:rRNA from 1 species